rnacentral:rRNA from 1 species
UGCAUCCUACGGGGCGCAGCAGUAGGGAAUUUUCGGCAAUGGGGGGAACCCUGACCGAGCAACGCCGCGUGAGUGAAGAAGGUUUUCGGAUUGUAAAGCUCUGUUAGCAGGGAAGAGGAAGGACGGUACCUGCAGAGGAAGCCACGGCUAACUACGUGCCAGCAGCCGCGGUAAUACGUAGGUGGCAAGCGUUGUUCGGAAUAACUGGGCGUAAAGGAUGCGUAGGCGGUUAAACAAGUUAUAUGUUAAAUAUAUAGGAUUAACCUGUAGAAAGCAUAUAAAACUGUUUAACUAGAGUGCAGGAG